AGAGAAGGUCAUGCACCUGAAUCCAGGCUGCAAGGAAGGUGGACCAAGGGAGGAUGGGCUCCAUGGAGAGAUGGCUGAUUCUAGGAUUGAAGCAGGAAAUUACAAGAUGAUCCCGGAACAUCUUGUCAUACCAGAAAGUGGAGCAAAAUACAA